AGUCGAGGGGUAUGGUUCUUCGGAACCAGAGACCGGCGCACGGGUGCGUAACGCGUAUGCAAUCUGCCUUUCACAGAGGGAUAGCCCAGAGAAAUUUGGAUUAAUACCUCAUAGUAUAGCGACAUCGCAUGAUGAUGCUAUUAAAGUCACAACGGUGAAAGAUGAGCAUGCGUCCCAUUAGCUAGUUGGUAAGGUAACGGCUUACCAAGGCAACGAUGGGUAGGGGUCCUGAGAGGGAGAUCCCCCACACUGGUACUGAGACACGGACCAGACUCCUACGGGAGGCAGCAGUGAGGAAUAUUGGUCAAUGGGCGCAAGCCUGAACCAGCCAUGCCGCGUGCAGGAUGACGGUCCUAUGGAUUGUAAACUGCUUUUGCACAGGAAGAAACACUGAUUCGUGAAUCAGCUUGACGGUACUGUGAGAAUAAGGAUCGGCUAACUCCGUGCCAGCAGCCGCGGUAAUACGGAGGAUCCAAGCGUUAUCCGGAAUCAUUGGGUUUAAAGGGUCCGUAGGCGGUCUGGUAAGUCAGUGGUGAAAGCCCAUCGCUCAACGGUGGAACGGCCAUUGAUACUGCUGGACUUGAAUUAUUAGGAAGUAACUAGAAUAUGUAGUGUAGCGGUGAAAUGCUUAGAGAUUACAUGGAAUACCAAUUGCGAAGGCAGGUUACUACUAAUGGAUUGACGCUGAUGGACGAAAGCGUGGGUAGCGAACAGGAUUAAAUACCCUGGUAGUCCACGCCGUAAACGAUGGAUACUAGCUGUUGGAAGCAAUUUCAGUGGCUAAGCGAAAGUGAUAAGUAUCCCACCUGG
rnacentral:rRNA from 1 species